AAGACUAUACUCUCAGGGAUCAUAUCUAUAGUUCCUUAUUAGAGAACUUUCUUUGAUCAUAUAGAGCACUCAAAACCAUGAGAAGGAGCCAGAGCAUCCUCUCCUGAGUGUUAAGCAGAUUCUAGGUGAUGCUUUUGCAAUUG
rnacentral:snoRNA from 1 species